AGUGAACGCUGGCGGUAGGCCUAACACAUGCAAGUCGAACGGCAGCACAGUAAGAGCUUGCUCUUACGGGUGGCGAGUGGCGGACGGGUGAGGAAUACAUCGGAAUCUACUUUUUCGUGGGGGAUAACGUAGGGAAACUUACGCUAAUACCGCAUACGACCUACGGGUGAAAGCAGGGGAUCUUCGGACCUUGCGCGAUUGAAUGGGCUGCUGUCGGAUUAGCUAGUUGGCGGGGUGAAGGCCCACCAAGGCGACGAUCCGUAGCUGGUCUGAGAGGAUGGUCAGCCACACUGGAACUGAGACAGGGUCCAGACUCCUACGGGAGGCAGCAGUGGGGAAUAUUGGGCAAUGGGCGCAAGCCUGAUACAGCCAUACCGCGUGUGUGAAGAAGGCGCUCGGGUUGGAAAGCCCUUUUGUUGGGAAAGAAAAGCAGCAGGUUAAUACCCCGCUGUUCUGACGGUACCCAAAGAAGAAGCACCGGCUAACUUCGUG
rnacentral:rRNA from 1 species